rnacentral:misc_RNA from 1 species
GAUGAAGAACGUAGCGAAAUGCGAUAAGUAGUGUGAAUUGCAGAAUUCAGUGAAUCAUCGAAUCUUUGAACGCACAUUGCGGCCAUAGGUAUUCCUUUGGCCAUGCCUGUUCGAGCGUCAUUUACACCCUCAAGCCUAGCUUGGUGUUGGGCGUCUGUCCCGCCGUUUUCGCGCGCGGACUCGCCUCAAAGUCAUUGGCGGCGGUCGUGCCGGCCCCCUCGCGCAGCACAUUUGCGCUUCUCGGAGGCCCGGCGGAUCCGCGCUCCAGCAAGACCUUUCACGACUUGACCUCGGAUCAGGUAGGGAUACCCGCUGAACUUAAGCAUAUCAAUAAGCGGAGGG